rnacentral:piRNA from 1 species
CGAAACAAGGGCCUGUACUUGUGGGGCUGUA